GUGUGUUUGUGUAAGAGAGUGUGUGUGUGCGUGUGUGUGUGUGUGUGUGUAAUAGAGUGUGUGAGUGUGUGUGUGUGCGUACCCUGUUGUUCUCGGCGGCCCACAGCAGCAGGUCUGCAGGUGUGUGUGUGUGUGUGUGCGUGUGUGUGUGUGUGUGUAAGAGAGUGUGUGUGUGUGUGCGUACCCUGUUGUUCUCGGCGGCCCACAGCAGCAGGUCUGCAGGUGUG